GACGAACGCUGGCGGCGUGCUUAACACAUGCAAGUCGAACGGUGAAGCGCCUGCCUGCUUGGUGGGAGUGGAUGAGGGGCGAACGGGUGAGUAACACGGGAGUAACCUGCCUCCUUCUACUGGAGAACCGCAUGAAAGUGUGGCUAAUACGGGAUAUUCUGCGUCUGUCGCAUGAUGGGUCUGGGAAAGAUGUUGUUUCGGUGGGGGAUGGGGUCGCGUCCUAUCAGCUUGUUGGUGGGGUGAUGGCCUACCAAGGCGGUGACGGGUAGCCGGCCUGAGGGGGUAGGCGCUCCCCCUGGGACCGGGGCCCGGGCCAGAAUGCGUCGGGGGGGCGGCGUGGGGGAUUUUGCGCCAAGGGCGCGAGGCUGAUGCCGCGCCGCCGGGUGGGAGAUGGAGGCCCUCGGGUUGUGAACCUCUUUCGCAAGUGGGGAAGGCCUGCGUCGCUUGUGGCUGGGUUGACGGUAGGUGGGUAAGAGGCGCCGGCUAACUACGG
rnacentral:rRNA from 1 species